GGUUUAACCUGUGCGCAUGACAAUGAAUGUACAGUGCUUGUGGCACAUCCUUUUUGAAUUUCUGCUGAACGCCACUUUUGGAGCCCGACAUAACUGCAGCGCCAUCAUAACACUGUCCGACACACAUGUUUUUGUCAAUAUUACACUGUGAUUGUCGAGUCAAACUGUGGUUUUAAUUUUACUUUGGGGUUUAAGAAAAUACACUGAAAAAAAAGAAGAAAUUAACGGACAAAAAAUAGUGAUUUAAUUUUAAAUUGGGAGCGGAAGGACUCACCAGCUCAACUAAUGGUUGACGCAAAAAUAAGCUACGUCAUACACGCGACGCAGACACGAGCAGCAGGUGUUUUAAUUGAGCUUCAAGGAGGCACGAGAGAGAACAAGAGGACUGUUAGAAAACCACAGCAAACGGGUGUAAUAAAAACUCUUGUAUUGUACAUACUGAACAUCUUUGAAAUCUGGAGAGGCAGCCGGUUUUUUACCUAAAGGUUAAUGGCAAGAGAAAAUAGCGAGCUACUGUUUAACUGAAAAUAAAAAGGAAAGAAAAGUGAAAACGUA